AGCAUGGCCGGUGGGUGAGUGAAGCAACGUGCCCCCAGGUGUAUGGAUCCUAUUAAGUAGUUGUUGAGAGUUGACCCCCAUUGCAGCUGUGGUCUGGAGGGGGAGAAAAAAUAACACAGUCGCCCCUCAAAUAGUACAGUUUUCAAUAGUUCGGUUUGAUGUGGAUUUGAUGUUCGGGGGGGGGGGGGGGGGUUGUCAGGAGCAUGGCCGGCGGGUGAGUGAAGCAACGUGCCCCCAGGUGUAUGGAUCCCAUUAAUUAGUUGUUAUUGCCGUGUGUGAUGAUGAGAGUUGACCCCCAUUACAGCUGUGGUCUGGAGGGGAAGAAAAAAUAACACAGUCGCCCCUCAAAUAGUACAGUUUUCAAUAGUUCAGUUUUAUGUGGAUUUUCACAGAAGAUAUUUUUGGGGUUUUCAAAUUUCCCAACAAGCAGGAAAUUUAAAAAUCCAAAAAGACCUUCCAUGAAAAUCCACAUAAAACCAAAACCGAACUAUUGAAAACCAUGCUAUUUGAGGGGCGACUCGACUUGCAUCUCUGGUAAUGUGUCUGGUCAACUAUGGCCUUGUGUGAGACGGGGGACACUGGCCUGGUCGCACGGGCCUUGCCACAAACCCUCGGCUCAUAAGACUGUUGGGCCCGCACACAGAAAACUGGUGUCUAUGUGUGCAUGUGUUGUCAUCCAUACCCUGUAGUUCUUCUGAUAGGUGGCCCUUGAAUAGCACUCCUACUUAUAAUACAGCAAAUGGUGUAUAUUCGUACUAGUAAACGAUGUCAUUUUUAUUUGAAUACAGUUGUGGAUAUUUCAAGAACACUCUUAAAUAACAAUAAUAAAAAAAGCCUGCUAUUUGCUGCUCCCAAAAAGAAUUCAAAGAGGUGGCUGAAAGAGAGGUCAAAUUCGGGAGGAGAGGUGUCCUGAUACCCUCCUCUUGAGAGCGUUCAAGUCGUAGGCAGGAGGAAAUACAGAUGAAGGGAGAUUGUUCCAGAGUUUACCAGCAUGAGGAAUGAAAGAGUGAAGAUGCUGGUUAACUCUUGCAUAAGGGGUUUGGACAGUACAGGGAUGAAAGAGUGAAGAUGCUGGUUAACUCAUGCAUAAGGGGUUUGGACAGUAUAGGGAUGAAAGAGUGAAGAUGCUGGUUAACUCUUGCAUAAGGGGUUUGGACAGUACAGGGAUGAAAGAGUGAAGAUGCUGGUUAACUCUUGCAUAAGGGGUUUGGACAAUAUAGGGAUGAAAGAGUGAAGAUGCUGGUUAACUCUUGCAUAAGGGGUUUGGACAGUACAGGGAUGAAAGAGUGAGGAUGCUGGUUAACUCUCGCAUAAGGGGUUUGGACAGUAUAGGGAUGAAAGAGUGAAGAUGCUGGUUAACUCUUGCAUAAGGGGUUUGGACAGUAUAGGGAUGAAAAAGUGAAGAUGCUGGUUAACUCUUGCAUAAGGGGUUUGGACAGUACAGGGAUGAAAGAGUGAAGAUGCUGGUUAACUCUUGCAUAAGGGAUUUGGACAGCACAGGGAUGAAAGAGUGAAGAUGCUGGUUAACUCUUGCAUAAGGGGUUUGGACAGCACAGGGAUGAAAGAGUGAAGAUGCUGGUUAACUCUUGCAUAAGGGGUUUGGACAGUAUAGGGCCUACAGAAAUUUGUCUCUUAAUACCCCAAAAACAAUACCCCCGGCUAGCCUUGCGUGGGCGUGAUCAAUAUACCACAGCAAGAUUCUGACAAAAUUUGGAUGUCAGAUUUGGGGUCUGGAUCUGGCCCUGUGUGUGUGUGUGUGUGUGUGUUUGUGUGUGUGUGCGUGUUUGUGUGUACCUUGGGGCAUAUUGCAAGUGAUAGUUUGUGUAGCUAUAUGAUUAUUGUUCAUUACUGUUUGUCCCCCCUCCUCCUCCUCCUCCUCCUCUUCCUCCUCCUUCUCUCCUCCUCCUCCUCCUCCUAUUCCCCAAUCUUCCUCCUUCUUUUUCUCUUCUUAUAACAUUCUUUCCUUCCCUCCUAUCCUCCUCCUCCUUAUCCAUCCCCCUCUCCUCCUCCUCCUCCUCCUCCUC